rnacentral:rRNA from 1 species
CAGUCGACGGAAGUCGUUCGAAAUGGAAUGAAGAUUUAUCUGAUUGAAGUUUUGUAACAAUGGCUUUAGUGGCGGACUGGUGAGUAACACGUAAGCAAUCUACCUAUUAGAGGGGAAUAACAAUGAGAAAUCAUUGCUAAUACCGCAUAAGCUUGUAGUACCGCAUGGUACAGCAAGAAAAGGAGCAAUCCGCUAAUAGAUGAGCUUGCGGCUGAUUAGCUAGUUGGUGUGGUAACGGCAUACCAAGGCAACGAUCAGUAGCCGGGCUGAGAGGCUCUUCGGCCACAUUGGGACUGAGAUACGGCCCAGACUCCUACGGGAGGCAGCAGUCGGGAAUUUUGCGCAAUGGAGGAAACUCUGACGCAGUGACGCCGCGUAUAGGAAGAAGGUUUUCGGAUUGUAAACUAUUUUAGUCAGGGAAGAAAAAUGACAGUACCUGAAGAAUAAGCUCCGGCUAACUACGUGCCAGCAGCCGCGGUAAUACGUAGGGAGCAAGCGUUAUCCGGAUUUAUUGGGUGUAAAGGGUGCGUAGACGGGAAGACAAGUUGGUUGUGAAAGCCCUCGGCUCAACUGAGGAACUGCAACCAAAACUAUCAUUCUUGAGUGCGGGAGAGGAAAGUGGAAUUCCUAGUGUAGCGGUGAAAUG